CGAGUGGCGGACGGGUGGAGUAAUGUCUGGGAAACUGCCUGAUGGAGGGGGAUAACUACUGGAAACGGUAGCUAAUACCGCAUAACGUCGCAAGACCAAGAGGGGGACCUUCGGGCCUCUUGCCAUCGGAUGUGCCCAGAUGGGAUUAGCUAGUAGGUGGGGUAACGGGCUCACCUAGGCGACGAUCCCUAGCUGGUCUGAGAGGAUGACCAGCCACACUGGAACUGAGACACGGUCCAGACUCCUACGGGAGGCAGCAUG
rnacentral:rRNA from 1 species